CCGAAAAUAGCGAAUCUCGUAACUAUAUGUUUUGAAUUUAAGUAUCUGUGAUGCCGUUGGGGUACUGUAUCUAUAACAAGGGGAUUCAGCUCAGACAAACAAAAGACAGGCAAAUAUUAAUAAUUCAAAUCGUCAUCCUUUUAUUGAGUGGUUUCUAACUUUAAUUCAAUCUCAUAUCCAGGGUCUUUCCUUUUGGGGGAGAAAAGACCCUGGUAGAUGCUGGUCAUGUGAUCUGCUAAAAUCUAGCAGAUUUUUAUAAUUUUAAUUAGCAAUCCAAGAUGAGGUUGAUAAAUAUUUUGUAUUUGGGUGAUUUUUAUAGUUUAAAUUUAUAAUUUGCAUUUUGUAUGAUUGUCGUAAAGGAAUCCAAGAUAGUUUUUUAGAAAUCUGCUAGAUUAUAUAGCAGAUCACGUGACCAGCGUCUACCAGGGUAUUUUGUCCCCAAUAGGAAAGACCCUGGGUACAAGGUUAAUUUUUAUUAUGUUUCGAUCCUAAAUUUCGGGAGUUACAUAAUGCAUGAAGUUAUGUACCUUGUACCUAUGAUACACAGACCGCUGUGGUAUACACGCGUGCUUACAAUGAAUGCCUAGUGACGACAAGGACGAUGAUGAACAUUAAGGGAUAAAAUAGACUGAGUGUGAUGGAAGAUAUUAUAACGGGUAACAGCCUGGUUCCUCGCCUAUUCGCUUCCGCCUUACUAUUUUAGAGUGGUAUUUUGACAAGGUUUGCAGUUUGAGGGAGUCUCAUACUUUUGGGGAGGGGCGGGAAGGCUCGGAACAAGGCUGGACCGGUAUUAUAAACUGGUAUCUAAGGGUAGUGGUUAUUGAUCAAACUAGAGGGAGACAAAUAUACCUGAUGACUUGUGAACUUACGAAAACGAAACAUAGCGAAGGCUGAGUACUAUUCAGAAGUGUGUAUUAAUUAAUUCACACUAUUGAUAUUACAUAUGAGGUUAGCUUGUUCAGUAGUACAUUCUUAUA
rnacentral:lncRNA from 1 species